GCAGAGCCAGCCAGAGGCAAGGAUUUUGUUAGCGUUUGGAGGAGAAAACAGGGAAUUUCCACAUAUGGAAAAAUGUUCCUUUAAACUGUGAUUAUGUAAAAAUACAAAGCCACAACUGAUAAUAUCUCUCACUCUGGGGAAUGAUGGAGAGUGUUUGUUUCUUUAAUUGCAUUUAAUACUCAUGAAAGUUACCAGCUUGCCACUACUGCAAGCGAAGCUCGUUAGUUGGAUUGCAGCACACACAACACCAGCUUCCUUUCCACGCUUCUUCAGUAGUGCAUUUUGCCCUCGUUAUUAAAAGACAGCUCCUAAUUUAAUAUCUGUGCAUAUUUGAUUGCUGGUGCUUUGCCUGAAAAUUGCCUGUAGAGGUGCAAACUAAAAUUAGGUGUAUGAUGAGUUUCUAAAUGAGGACCUUUAUUAGUCAAAGGUGGGCUGACUUCUGUUAGGCAGGAGCAGAGCCAUGAGCCAGGCUCCUACUCCUGCCCCAGGUGAGCACCCUGGGUCUUAGGUGUCUGCAGAUGUUCUUGUUAUCCCUCUGAACAGUCCUCAUUCUCUUGGAUUUUACCCAUUUUUUUUCAUCUCAAAUAUAGGAAUUUAACCAGGGACUGGGUGGAAAAGUAUUUCCAUUGGUUUUGGAUGUGCUACCCUGGGAUUUUCCUUUGAUUCCCAUUCAGAAGCUCCCUUCCCUUGGUAUGCUUUCAUCCCAUGCUCUCCUGUGUUCCUCCUCUCUAAGGUAAACGGAUUGGGCUGGUGUAUAAAGGGGUGCAGAGGAAACUGACAGUGCGGGCAGGAUCCUGUGAGAGCUGAUGUGGGCUGUGCUCCUGUUGCUGCUUUAAUUCAUCAUCACUGGAGCAUGUAAAACCAGGACAGUUGCUGGAGCUGCAGCGCAUGAAUCACCCUUUGAGAGAAACGUGCCCCUGCGUGCUCCGACAAGCCCUCCUUUUCAAAGUGCCGUUGUCAAACCUGGCUUGCUGAGAGCGUGGAUCCAAAAACCUCUCACUGCAAAGCAACAUCCUGGGAAUAAGCCAACAAGAGCUGGAAAACUCAUGCAAAUAGAGUCCCAAACUUCAUCUACCUUAAAUUGAAGAAGAAAGAUGUUGCCAAAGGUUUUGAGACUGGAGCCAUAAAAAGUGAAUAUUAUUUUCAGUCCCUUUCUGCAGGUACCUAGAGAAGGG
rnacentral:lncRNA from 1 species